UACGAAGGGGGCUAGCGUUGCUCGGAAUUACUGGGCGUAAAGGGCGCGUAGGCGGCGCUGUUAGUCAGGCGUGAAAUUCCUGGGCUCAACCUGGGGACUGCGCUUGAUACGGCAGUGCUUGAGGAUGGAAGAGGCUCGCGGAAUUCCCAGUGUAGAGGUGAAAUUCGUAGAUAUUGGGAAGAACACCGGUGGCGAAGGCGGCGAGCUGGUCCAUUACUGACGCUGAGGCGCGACAGCGUGGGAGCAACAGG
rnacentral:rRNA from 1 species